UAGGGAAUCUUCCACAAUGGACGCAAGUCUGAUGGAGCAACGCCGCGUGAGUGAAGAAGGUUUUCGGAUCGUAAAGCUCUGUUGUUGGUGAAGAAGGAUAGAGGCAGUAACUGGUCUUUAUUUGACGGUAAUCAACCAGAAAGUCACGGCUAACUACGUGCCAGCAGCCGCGGUAAUACGUAGGUGGCAAGCGUUGUCCGGAUUUAUUGGGCGUAAAGCGAGCGCAGGCGGAAUGAUAAGUCUGAUGUGAAAGCCCACGGCUCAACCGGGGAACUGCAUCGGAAACUGUCAUUCUUGAGUGCAGAAGAGGAGAGUGGAAUUCCAUGUGUAGCGGUGGAAUGCGUAGAUAUAUGGAAGAACACCAGUGGCGGAGGCGGCUCUCUGGUCUGCAACUGACGCUGAGGCUCGAAAGCAUGGGUAGCGAACAGG
rnacentral:rRNA from 1 species